rnacentral:sRNA from 1 species
AUGUACCCCUCCGUACACUGCGGUUCUGAGCGCGCCAUCCGCACCCACCUGACGACUGCUCGCGACGUGGUGUUAGUC